AUGCACGCUGGCGGCGUGCCUAAUACCUGCAAGUCGCGCGAACGGACGAGAAGCUUGCUUCUCUGAUGUUAGCGGCGGACGGGUGAGUAACACGUGGAUAACCUACCUAUAAGACUGGGAUAACUUCGGGAAACCGGAGCUAAUACCGGAUAAUAUUUUGAACCGCAUGGUUCAAAAGUGAAAGACGGUCUUGCUGUCACUUAUAGAUGGAUCCGCGCUGCAUUAGCUAGUUGGUAAGGUAACGGCUUACCAAGGCAACGAUGCAUAGCCGACCUGAGAGGGUGAUCGGCCACACUGGAACGGAGACACGGUCCAGACUCCUACGGGAGGCAGCAGUAGGGAAUCUUCCGCAAUGGGCGAAAGCCUGACGGAGCAACGCCGCGUGAGUGAUGAAGGUCUUCGGAUCGUAAAACUCUGUUAUUAGGGAAGAACAUAUGUGUAAGUAACUGUGCACAUCUUGACGGUACCUAAUCAGAAAGCCACGGCUAACUACGUG
rnacentral:rRNA from 1 species